ACGGGGGGGGCAAGCGUUGUUCGGAAUUACUGGGCGUAAAGGGUGCGUAGGCGGCUUUUUAAGUCGGAUGUGAAAACUCUGGGCUCAACCCAGAGCCUGCAUUCAAAACUGACGGGCUAGAGUUCUGGAGGGGAAAGCGGAAUUCCUGGUGUAGCGGUGAAAUGCGUAGAUAUCAGGAGGAACACCGGUGGCGAAGGCGGCUUUCUGGACAGAAACUGACGCUGAUGCGCGAAAGCUAGGGGAGCAAACAGGA
rnacentral:rRNA from 1 species